GCAGCAUUGAAUGGUGGAUGGGAGUUUUUGAGUUUGAGAAGGUUAGGCAUAUGAAAUAAGGAAUGGUAGGUGCAAAAAACCAAAAACCUUGAAUUUCUUAAGAACAUAAAACAAACACUAGUGACCUUUACCAUUUUCGCUGCGUUUGAUGGAUCCACCGUCGGAUGCGCCGCUCCUAACGAAUGUACCAGCGAAUGGAGGAGUAGCUGAUUUCUUUGCAUCAUGUUUGUGGUUUCUCUGUUGCUGUGGUUUGUUUAAUGGCUGCUGCCCGCCUCCGCCACUGUUUGAGCCGGGACCGCCUUCUCCAAAGUAGUUCUUUCUUCCCUCAUUCCUGGGUCGGAUUAGAUUGGUUGGGUGAUUAUUAUUAUUUUUUUCUUUUUUAAUUUAUUACUUCUAUGAUUCCCUAACAAAUCGGAAAGCGAUCAGUGGUGUGUCAUUUGUAUUCCUGGACUCUGAAACAAAGACAAGUAAAUUCCCUUUCUUUC